rnacentral:rRNA from 1 species
GACGAACGCUGGCGGCGUGCCUAAUACAUGCAAGUUGAGCGAUGAAGCUUGGUGCUUGCACCAAUUUGAAGAGCAGCGAACGGGUGAGUAACGCGUGGGGAAUCUGCCUUUGAGCGGGGGACAACAUUUGGAAACGAAUGCUAAUACCGCAUAACAACUUUAAACAUAAGUUUUAAGUUUGAAAGAUGCAAUUGCAUCACUCAAAGAUGAUCCCGCGUUGUAUUAGCUAGUUGGUGAGGCAAAGGCUCACCAAGGCGAUGAUACAUAGCCGACCUGAGAGGGUGAUCGGCCACAUUGAGACUGAGACACGGCCCAAACUCCUACAGGAGGCAGCAGUAGGGAAUCUGCGGCAAUGGACGAAAGUCUGACCGAGCAGCGCCGCGGGAGGGAGGAAGGUUGUCGGAUCGUAAAACUCUGUUGGUAGAGAAGAACGUUGGUGAGAGUGGAAAGCUCAUCAAGUGACGGUAACUACCCAGAAAGGGACGGCUAACUACGUG